rnacentral:rRNA from 1 species
GAUGAACGCUAGCGAUAGGCUUAACACAUGCAAGUCGAGGGGCAGCAUGGUCUUAGCUUGCUAAGACUGAUGGCGACCGGCGCACGGGUGCGUAACGCGUAUGCAACUUGCCUCACAGAGGGGGAUAACCCGUCGAAAGACGGACUAAUACCGCGUACACUCCAUCUUGGGCAUCCAAGGUAGAGGAAAUGAAAUUCGCUGUGAGAUAGGCAUGCGUCCCAUUAGCUAGUUGGUGAGGUAACGGCUCACCAAGGCGACGAUGGGUAGGGGAACUGAGAGGUUGAACCCCACACUGGUACUGAGACACGGACCAGACUCCUACGGGAGGCAGCAGUGAGGAAUAUUGGUCAAUGGGCGAGAGCCUGAACCAGCCAAGUCGCGUGAAGGAUGACUGUCUUAUGGAUUGUAAACUUCUUUUAUACGGGAAUAACAAGAGUCACGGGUGACUCCCUGCAUGUACCGUAUGAAUAAGCAGCGGCUAACUCCGUG